AGAUGGCAUCCAGGCAUCAGAGGAGGGAGCAGUGCGUCCAACAGACGUGAGCUGAGACUGCAGCUCUCGACAUGUGACCUUAGCAAGUUUCUUCACUGCUCUGAGCCUCCAUUUUCUUUUCUGUAAAAUGGGAAUUAUCAGAUGACAAAGUCAAAGGAUUCAGUGUUGUUUGUUUAGUCAUUCAUUCAUUCAAAAAGUGUCUAUUGAGCACCUGCUAUGUGUCGGAGUCUGGGGAGCACAGCAGGGCGUGGACAUGCUAAUGGGAGGAGGCAGACGAGAACAGGAUGGGUAUGAGAUGGCAGGUGAUCCCAGAGGCUGUAGCAGGUCCCCGGCAACUUCCACGUGUCCACACACAGUGCCACAGCCCAGCCACAGAACCCAGACAUGACGCAUGUCAUCCACAAGCUCUCCUUUGGGGACACGCUACAGGUCCAGAACAUCCACGGAGCUUUCAAUGCUCUCGGGGGAGCAGACAGACUCACCUCCAACCCCCUGGCCUCCCACGACUACAUCCUGAAGAUUGUGCCCACGGUUUAUGAGGACAAGAGUGGCAAGCAGCGGUACUC
rnacentral:lncRNA from 10 species